GCACAGUGGUGUGCACAGAUGGUGUGCAUGGGGGGUUGCCCCACCUUGUGGCCCAGUUGUUGAAAAACGUGUGCUAAAGUGCCCUCUUGGGGGCCACAACGUGUGCUAAAGUGCCCUCUUGGGAGCCAAAACGUGUGCUAAAGUGCCCUCUUGGGCGCCAACACAUGUGCUAAAGUGCCCUCAAGUCCCCUCUUGGGAGUCAACACAUGUGCUAAAAUGCCCUCAAGUGCCCUCUUGGGAGCCAUAACGUGUGCUAAAGUGCCCUCUUGGGAGCCAACACAUGUGCUAAAGUGCCCUCUUGGGAGCCAAAACGUCUGCUAAACUGCCCUCAAGUGCCCUCUUGGGAGCCAAAACGUGUGCUAAAGUGCCCUCUUGGGAGCCAAAAUGUG